rnacentral:rRNA from 1 species
CCUACGGGUGGCUGCAGUGGGGAAUAUUGGACAAUGGGCGCAAGCCUGAUCCAGCAAUGCCGCGUGUGUGAAGAAGGCCUGCGGGUUGUAAAGCACUUUAAGCAGGAAAGAAGGGGUGAAAGUUAAUACCUUUCAUCAUUGACGUUACCUGCAGAAUAAGCACCGGCUAACUCCGUGCCAGCAGCCGCGGUAAUACGGAGCGUGCGAGCGUUGCGUGGAAUUACUGGGCGUAAAUUGAUCGUAGGCGGGUGAAAGCCCUGGGCUUAACCUGGGAACUGCGGUGGAUACUGUCGGGCUAGAGUGUGGUAGAGGGGAGUGGAAUUUCCGGUGUAGCAGUGAAAUGCGUAGAGAUCGGAAGGAACACCAGUGGCGAAGGCGGCUCCCUGGACUAACACUGACGCUGAGGUGCGAAAGCGUGGGGAGCAAACAGGAUUAGAUACCCGUGUAGUC